CUUUACUGUAGCUUUACAUUGGACUUUGACAAGAUUUGUGUAGGAUAGGUGGGAGACGUUGAAGCGGAGUCGCUAGAUUUCGUGGAGUCAACCUUGAAGUACUAUUUUGAUGUUGUUGAGGUUCUAACUUAGGUCCAUUAUCUGGACUGGGGAUUGUGUAUGGUGGGUAGUUUGACUGGGGCGGUUUUUUUCCAAAGAGUAACGGAGGAGUGCGAAGGUAACCUAGGUACGGUUGGAAAUCGUAUUGAUAGUGCAAUGGCAUAAGGUUGCUUGACUGCGAGACGGACAGGUCGAGCAGGUGCGAAAGCAGGUCAUAGUGAUCCGGUGGUUCUGUAUGGAAGGGUCAUCGCUCAAUGGAUAAAAGGUA
rnacentral:rRNA from 1 species